AAGGAAUAGCACGCGAUUGUCAUUUCCGCUUUCAAUGGACUAAAAAGAAUAUUAGUACAAAUUUCCUAUUUUACGCUUCAGUUUUUGUUCCAAACGGUUGAGCUUCGAAACAAGCAAUCAUAUUUCAUGCGAUAUUUGUCCCAUCAUUUAGGAACGGGUUCAUACGCAAGAUUUUGGUAGCUGUUUUAUAAAUGGAAGACAGACCUGGGAAGAUUUUUGUUGGAGGUCUUGACUUUGAUAUAGACGACGAAGAAUUUGAGAAAAUAUUUUCAAAGUUUGGGAAAGUCACAGAAGUUUUAUUAAAGAGGGAUCAACAGACAGGCAGGUCACGAGGAUUUGGCUUUAUCACAUACGAAAAUCCAUCAGAUGCUGAGGAAGCAGUAAAGUCACUUGAUAAACAAGACGUAAAAGGGAAGAUGGUACAUGUAGAUCAUGCUGUAAAACCAGGAGGCUCCUCAGGAGGUGGGGGAGGUGAUAGAGGUGGUCGAGGUGGGGGAUUCAGGGGCAGAGGUGCACCUAGAGGAAGAGGAUUUGGGGGAGGUUUCAGGGACAGUUACAGUGGUGGACGGGGUGGUUCCAGUUUCAGUAGCAGAGGUGGAGGAUUUAGGGGUCGUGGAUCUCCAAGAGGUGACAGGGGUGGAAGAGGCAGCUUUGGUGGGCGUGGCCGAGGUGGUGACAGACCAAUGAGAGGAAGUUAUGGAGAUGACAGGAGAGGACCCCCACAGAGGCGUAGUUCUAUGGACAGAGGCUAUGGUGAUAGAGCACCUCCGCCUAUGAGAAGAGAUGAUGACCGAUAUGGUGGUAUGGACAGAGAUCGUUAUGGUAGCUCUACCAUGUCAGACAGACGACCAAGAGAUCCCUACCCACCUUCCCCACCCCCAAGGACCAUAGACAGAGAUCCACUGUCUUCAUAUAGAGAUUAUGGAAUGUCUUCUAGAGAUUAUAGUCCACCUAGAGAAAGAAUAUCAUCCAGAGAGUAUGUAUCGAGCAGAGACAUUGGUAUAUCUAGAAGUAGCUAUGACACAGCAAGAGAUUCCUAUUCCUCUAGGGAUCCAUACACUACCAGCAGUAGCAGUAGAAGAGAUGACUACCUGUCUCCAAGAGAUACGAGGGAAUAUGUCUCAACAAGGGAUUCUCCUAGAGAUUAUAUACCAAGGGAAAGUUCACGGACACUGAGCAGAGAGUAUGAGAGAAUGCCAUCAAGAGAUGCCUAUGAUACAUACAGAGAGCGUAUUUCAACUGCACCCAGCAGGGGCUACAUGAGUGGUUGAUAAGUCAUCCUGUGGCACUAACUCCAUUGAAAAGUGCAUGUUUAUUGCUGUAUGAGGUGUUGUCCGAGAGCAGAGCAAACAGUAGUCCCGGCAGAGACUUGGCAGAGUUCAAGGUUCAGACAUAUGUAACUUGGUGAGUUGUGAUAAAAACCAGUUGGAUAGUGGCAAAUGAUCUUGUUUAGAACACCAAGUUACCGUUGAGACUUUAGAUUCUAUUGCUGUCAUUAUCAGUAAAAUUUGUCACUAUUUCCGUGAA
rnacentral:misc_RNA from 1 species